UCCCCUCCCCCUCUUUCUCUCUCCUUCUUAGCAUCUAAAACUUUCAUGAAACAACCAUAGAUUUCUACUAAAUCAACCAGCAAAUUUCGUUUUUGGUGAAGAUCAAGUUGCUCCUCUCUUUUGUGGUAUAUAAACCCUUGAAAAAAAUCAAAGGGGAAGUAUUUGAGGAAGUGGACGAAUUUGGUUUGUUUACGGCGUGGACGAUUCGAACUUCCCCAAGUUGUGAUUGAAAUGUUUUGUGGUAAAACACCAAGGUAAUGUUCAAGAUGAAAUCUAAAGAUGGCCAUGAUGAAGUAGUCUUUUUGGGAGAACUUAUGGAGAUCACAUUUGCAUAUGCACCUUGGUUUUGCAUAGU